rnacentral:piRNA from 1 species
AGUAGAUAAAUUGUAAAUUUAAAAAAA